UGUUUGCGUUAGGGAUUGCAGUGAAAAUCCUUUUUUUGCGUGGUUCACACCAAAAAAAGAUUGUAACGAAAAGCCCGACCCUUG
rnacentral:sRNA from 1 species